UACGUAGGGGGCAAGCGUUGUCCGGAAUUAUUGGGCGUAAAGAGCGCGUAGGCGGUCCCGAUAAGUCGGCUGUGAAGGUCAGGGGCUCAACCCUUGAAAGCCGGCCGAUACUGUCGGACUAGAGUCCGGAAGAGGCAAGUGGAAUUCCCGGUGUAGCGGUGAAAUGCGCAGAUAUCGGGAGGAACACCAAUGGCGAAGGCAGCUUGCUGGGACGGUACUGACGCUGAGGCGCGAAAGCGUGGGGAGCAAACAGG
rnacentral:rRNA from 1 species